UGGGGAAUAUUGCACAAUGGAGGGAACUCUGAUGCAGCGACGCCGCGUGAGGGAUGAAGGAAUUCGUUUCGUAAAACUCUGGUCUAUGGGAAGAAAAGGACUGUACCAUAGGAGAAAGGUCCGGCUAAAUACGUGCCAGCAGCCGCGGUAAUACGUAAGGAGCGAGCGUUGUCCGGAAUUAUUGGGCGUAAAGGGUGCGCAGGCGGCUUUACAAGUUGGAUGUGAAAUAUUGUGGCUCAACCACAAACGUGCAUCCAAAACUGCAAAGCUUGAGUUAAGGAGAGGUAAGUGGAAUUCCUGGUGUAGCGGUGGAAUGCGUAGAUAUCAGGAGGAAUACCGGUGGCGAAGGCGACUUACUGGACUUAAACUGACGCUCAGGCACGAAAGCGUGGGGAGCAAACAGG
rnacentral:rRNA from 1 species